rnacentral:lncRNA from 1 species
GCUGGGAUUACAGGCGUGCACCAACGCUUGGCUAAUUUCUUUGUAUUUUUAGUAGAGAUGGGGUUUCACCAUGUUGGCCAGGCUGGUCUCGAACUCCUGACCUCAUGUGAUCCACCCACCUUGGCCUCCCAAAGUGCUGGGAUUACUGGCAUGAGUCAUCACACGUGGCCUAGAUUCAUCUAAAUUUUAAAACAUGGGAUGUUGCAAUCAGAUAGAAGAGCCAGAUCCAGUAUUGGCAGCUGUUACUGGUUUUGUGACCUGAAGAAGCUAAUCAAUGUUUCUAAGCCUCAAUUCCCUUCUCUGUAAAAGUGGGUGCUCACAGUGUUGUUGAGAAGAUUAAGCAGGGAAGAGUGUGUGAAACUACCUUACACAUAGCAAGGGCUCAAUAAAUGGUAGUAACUGUUCUUUGUUUUAAAAAAUUUUUGCUUAAUCCACUGCACAAUAAAGUGACCCAUGGAAGACCUUGGGAAAUGUUUACAGGUUUCAAAUUUGGUGUUUGCCAAGUAUUGCAAAACAUCUACCCCUCCUCACUACACACUUGUACUCCUGUUAAAAUACAUUACUGUGCUUGAAGGUGUCCAGUCUUCUAUUGUCUUGCAUAGUAGCACAGGCGAGCUUGGUGAAGGUAGGUGGAAUCAGGGUGUGUUUUCAGCAACAAGUGAGCAGAGGAGCUGAGCGGGUGGUUCUGAGCAAAGGGCCCGAGAAGUGACAGCAGAGGGGGAGUGAUGCCGAAACGAUAAUAUUAGAGUACACAGAGUAAUGCACAGCUGCCAGGUCACACAAUUUGAGAACUGCUUCAGAACAGUCAACUCUUCCACGCUGUUGCUAAGAGACGGGGGAGGUGGGGAGGCAUUCAUCCCUUGAACAAAAGGGAGGGGAAAAACACGAACAGACAUGAACUCUAAGUUUUGGAAAUGAUUUCAUGGACUCCUAUUUUCUGAACGUUAGUGUCUUUGGAGACAUUUUCAUGUGUUGAGUUCCUACUGUGUGCUAUGUGUGGCUCAAGGCACUGGGGAGAGAGCAGUGGACAAAGUCCCUGUUUUCAUGGAGCUUCUAUUGGAUUUGGUCUUCUCCUUUGAUGUUGAGGGGACUGACUGAGGUCCUCAGAAGGGAAGAACUUGCCUAAGAACUGAAGGCAACCUAUUGGCAAAGCUGAUAUUUGAAUCCAGGCCUCCUAAAUCCAAGAUCGAGACUUUUUCCAUAUACUACAUUUUACAAAAGAGAUUCAUCUGCAGCAGAUUUUAACGUUAGCUAGGACUUAAGUACCUCAGCUAGGUCAAGGUCCAUUCACUGGAGAUUUCUGCAAAUGAGUCCAAAAAAAUGAUGUUUUUUUAAUUUCAAGUGUCCCACGGAGAAGUUUCAUAUUUAUUCAGAGUCCUUGUCUUCCAUUAUUACACCUAGUUGAAUGAAACUGUAUAGUAUGAAAGGAGGUAGGGAGAAUCAAAACAGGAAAAAGAUUUGGGUAUCUCAUAACUGCUGAAAAUUAGCAAGACAUGGAAGUCAAGAGAUCUGGGUGCAGAAGCAGUUUCUACUUCUUCCUACCUGUGACCUUACCUCUUUAGGCCUGUUUUCCCACCUAUAACAUGAGGGAUUGCAUUAUAAUAAUCUCAGCAUUCUUCUCCAGCUCUAAAUUUAUGAUGAGUCACCCAACAGUGCCAUGCAGUGAAAAUAGCCCUAAGGCCCUAAGAUGUAAUUUCAGAGAGUGACUGUGGUUCAAAGAUGAAAAACUGAGUGUUAAUUGCCCCUUCUCCUGUGCUCCCAUGGUCCUAGGGCAGGGUGCUGCUGUAGUGCACAUUCUGCUGUGCAUGCUGAGAAGCUGGCUCCGGGUCUGCACCAGCAGAAAGGUCUGUGCUUAUGGAGGGUGAGCACUGUGUCCUGUGCACUGCCACGUGACUGUUUUUGUAGGCCUUUCUUCCCAUCAGACCAUGACUACUUUGAUGGCAGGGACCAUGUCUUAUUUAUCCUUCUGCCUUAGUGCCUGCCGCUGAGUAGUCUGUAGAUGUUUACAGAGUGAAGGAAUCAAUGAAUAAUGACUGAGUGAGAAAACUAUACUUUUUCAGGGUCAAUAAAGGAAAUAGCACAAGAGAAUCUCCCCUGAUAAACUUGUCAAAGUGAUCCCAGAAUUAAACAUUCAGGCUGGAGAGGUUAUUAGUGACUUGCUUAAGGCCACAUUGUUUAAAAGCAGCAAAGCUAGGACUCCUUUCCUCUCUCCUUUUCUUUCUUUUAUUCAGUACCCCAAAAGGGUGUUUGGCUCCAGCAUUGAACACAGGUGACUUUGAAUAACAAUUUAUCGGAACAAGAUGAAUUUUGAAGCAGGUAGGAGGGUGGCUUUUGAGUCUGACAGAUGUGGGUUCAAAUCCUCUGGGGCCGCUGACUAUCAGUGUGAUCUAUGGCAACUUAACCUCCCGGAAGCUCAGUUUCCUCGUGUGAAAAGUAGAAGUGAUAACAUCUCCACCAUCUCCCUUGCAGGCUGCUUCUGUGGGGUCAUUUGAAGGCUUAUGGUUAACCCAGAUAAGAGAAAAACACCAUAAAUAGGAUUUCUGAUGUCCAUUUUAUAGAUGAAGAAGGAAGGUUUAGCAAGGCCAUUCAAGGAUACACAGCUAGAGGACGAGAUGGAAUUGAAGUCCCUUUGUCAGCAUCCUUUUCAUUCUUGAUGCCAUUUCAUUUCCCCUCCUGGUAUGUUUUGUUAUGCAGUUAGCUUAGGCCUAAUUUUAUAUAACCAAUUAUAAACUGUGAAAUAGGAUUCUGGUAUGAAUUUCCUAUUCUUCUCCCACUAAGCAACUGAUGAAUCCCUUCGUGGUCAGAUGUGACGAAUGGGAUUGUUUCUGUUCUACUAUGGUUUGAAUUUCUACCUUGAUAAUUACACAAAAACACUAUCAACAAAGGUGGACGCCAGGUAAACACUGCUCCCUCCUAAAUGCUUCUAUGGCUGAGAUCCAUUCUCUUGCUCUUUUUCUCCUUUCUUCAAGAACAGAUGUUCAUAUUCUUUGCCAAUUUUUCUACUGAGUUAUAAGAACACAUUAUAUAUUAAGAAAAUUAGUCCUAUUUAUUUGUCUUAUAGGUUAGAAAUAUUUACCUGUUGGUCAAUGGUCUAUCAUCUGAAUAUAUAGUAUUUUUGGGGGCCUCUGCAUAAUAGUUCUGUAUUAUUUUUUAGGAAAGCCUUCCCACUCCAAGAGAAAAACUAUUAUACAAAUGAUACAACCUGCUAUGGAAAAAAGAGAAAUAACAGAUAAGUAUACAAAGAAAAUACAAGAAAAACAUGAACAGUAAUAAUCUUAUCCAAAUGUUACUGAGAUAUUUUUGGAGUACUUAAUUUCAAUCUUUUUCCUAUAUGCAAACACACACAACUUUUCUCUAACAAAAAUCAGAUCAUACUGUACUAGCAAACACCCUACCUGAAAUCUGUAUAUCCAUUGCCUAUUGAUUAUGCCCAUUGCUUAACAUACUAUGUUUUAUUUAAUCAUUAUUUAAUUGUUGAGUAUGCAAGUUAUUUCUGAGUUUUCACUCAAGCUGUUUACGCUUAUUUCUGUCUGGGUGUGAAUGAAUCUUUGGCACAUUCCUCUAGCAAGUUGAUCAACAUCUGGUCUAAGAUAUUCUUCGGUGUUGGGUUUGUGCUGUCCACAUCAGCUUAGCAAUGUCUGCACAAAGACUCCUUCCCCCUCAAAAGUGCCAUUCAGACUUGCUGUGGGUAUAAGGGGAACAAUCUCAUUGAGGAGAAAGUUGUCAUUGUGGUUGAGAACAUGAACUUUGGAAUUGGAUAGAGCUGUGUGAAUUUGGCCUAAACUCCGAGUCUGCUUCCACAUCUGUAAAAUGUAGACACAAAUAGUUACUCAUAAGGUUCUGGUGGGGAUUAAAUGUGGUUAUACCUGUAAAGUCCUUAGCAUUAUGCCCAGCACAUAGUGAAGAUGUUCGAUAAAUGAUAACUAAACAAACAUUGUGUCCCCUCCCACUACAACCACACUGCUCUCCCUCACCUUACAGACUUUGCUGCUUGACAAUCUUGGGGUGGGGCUGCUGAAAACUGAAUCUCAAUUUAGGAAGCCAUGUUGUCCCAGGAUUAGGGUUAUUGGCCUCACAUAAGAAUCUCCAAAUCUGCAGAAUCUCAGGCCCCACCCAAAAACUAUUCAAUCAGAAACUACAUUUUCAAAAGAUAUCCCAGAUGAUUUGUAUGCAUAGUAAAGUUUGAGAAGGUUUUAGUCCAGGUAUUCAGGAAGUGAUGCUGGUUGUGUAUGGAGGACAGGGGCCCAGGAACUGAUGAAAUCUCUAGUUUGGAAUUCUCGAUAGCAUUUGCAUUCUUUUUUUUUUUUUUUAUCUCAAAUCCAUCACUCAGUAGCAAUGUGAUCUUCACAAAGCUCCCUUUACUUUUACCACCAUAGUGUUGUAGGAGAAGCUCUAUCUUCCAAGUCAGACAGAUCUGGGCUUCAAUUCCAGCUUUGUUAACUGGAGGACUUAUUAUUAGCUGGGAGGACUUGCGACAAAUCAUACCAACUUUCUGAGCCCAGUUUCCUUCCCUGUAAAAUGUAGAUAAUACACCUUUCUUGAGGUGUUACUAGAGAUAACCAAUGAUAAAGUGUUUGGGAAAUCUGGCAUAUCGUAGGGGUACAAUGAGUAAGUGGUUUGACUCCAAAGACCUGAGUUUGGAUCUCAGCUCCACAACUCACUUGGCUGAUUGCUUUCUUUCCCUGGACUCAAGUUUCAUCAUCUGUAAAACUGGCAUUUCAACCAAAUAACUUCUGAAGUCUCUCCCUCCUUUAAAGCUUGAUAUUACAAGGGCAAAUUUUAGUACAAAUAUCCAAAUCCUAACGGUAACUCACAAUUACAAAAGAGCUGAGUCUGUCAUUCACCUGUCAAAUUAUCUAAACUGCGUCUCAGUCAGGAGAUGUGAAAAGAAGGAUGGAUUUUCUAUGAAUGUUUUCUUUUUUUUUUUUGAGACGGAGUCUCGCUCUGUCGCCCAGGCUGGAGUGCAGUGGCG